GGGCGCGCUUCACCACCUAUGAGGUUCGCAUGCGGACAAAUCUACCUAUCUUCAAGCUGAAGGAGUCCUGUGUACGGCGGCGCUACAGUGACUUUGAGUGGCUAAAAAAUGAGCUGGAGCGAGAUAGUAAGAUUGUAGUACCACCACUACCUGGGAAAGCCUUAAAGCGGCAGCUCCCUUUUCGAGGAGACGAAGGGAUCUUUGAGGAGUCCUUUAUUGAAGAAAGGAGGCAGGGCCUCGAACAGUUUAUUAACAAAAUUGCUGGGCACCCACUGGCUCAGAACGAACGCUGCCUACACAUGUUCCUGCAGGAGGAGGCAAUUGAUAGGAACUACGUCCCCGGGAAGGUGCGCCAGUAGGAGCCCCUCUCACCACUUGCCCUCUACUUUCCUGCUGAAAUGACAUUGGUUUUUACACUAAGCCUCUCUCUCUCUUUGAUCUGAAGUUGGCUGCCCGUCCCCUGGCCUGAUAAGACUGUCUGGCAUUGUGUUCCUUGGUACCUACCAUACCAUGGGCACUCUGCUAGGAUCCUCUUCUCUGAGGAGAGGUGGGAAACCACACAGGCAGAUGCCCUUUGCUUGGGGUUGGGGGGUGGGUGGGGGGAUUGGACUGGAAGGCAAUUUCUUGGGCAUUUACCCAUGCCAGAAGGCUGACCUUGUGGGGGGCGUGUCUUGUGCUGGUGAGGCACUUGGAUACAUACUGAUGCUGCAAGUCCAGGGGAUUUUUCUUACUCUUAGGUUUAACCAGGAACGCCGAGCAGGGAAACAUCCUGCCUUUCCUACCUGCAUGAACUUUUUCCUUUUGGGGAAGGUGGCAGAGACUCAAAAGCUCUCCUUGUUUUCUCCAGGCCUGAUCCUAGUUAUCGCAACAGUUUCCUUUGUUAUUUUCUCUCUCCCUGUUGCUUUUCAUGGUAGUAGUGGUAGAGUCAAAGCAGUCAUUUGUGUGGCGCAAUGUGUUUGGGUUUUCUGGGCCCAUCAUGGCUGCUUCAGAGUCAGAAGAAAGCCAUAGGGCAGUAGGGGAGCUCCUGUUGCCUAGCCCCUCUCCUUUGUGGCUCCCCACUCUGGCUGCCUGUUCUUGCUCACCAGUAGGCGAGUCAUUACCAUAGGCUGAGUCAGCAGUUCUCCCUCCCCAAGCCCUUGCUACUUUAUGGGUUAGCUUUGCAGGUUUGGUGGCUUUAGGGCUGGGGGAAACUCACCACUGCCAGGUAACUCCCUGAGGGGUUGGAGUGGAUCAUUUUCCAGGUACCUCCUGGUGGUAGGGAAGGGCAUCAUCACUCUCUUCCUUCCAUUCUCCCUUUCCCCCAUUCCAUUUAGUGCUGCCACAGGGCAGAAACACAUGAACAAACCACACAGUCUGAUUUCUCCUAAGCACUUUGAGCUGUUGAAUGGGGCUUAGGGGCAAGAGUUGUCACUGCCCUCCCCAGCUUGGUCACAGGGUUAUUGAACUGCCUGCACUUGUUUCCCACGGAACUCCAGCAUUCUUCCCAGAAGUUGAGCUAGGGUUUGCAAGCUGGGUAUAGAUUUCUAAAUCUUAGAGUCUGAAGCAAUUUAUCAGGGCUGACGACUUUCCUGGGCUUCUGUCUGGGAGGUAGUGGUUUGUUUGCUGGGGCCCAAUAUCUAUCCCAAAUGGUGGCACGGGAGUAGGUUAACUCUGGUGUCAGGUCAAAAGUGGGGGCUCUUUCCUUAGAAUCCCUAUCAUGGAAGGAUUGGAGUUCUUUAUAUAGGGUCUUGGGGGAAAAGGAUUACUGAUUCUGACAAGACCCUGAUCGGAGAGAUUAGGAUUGAAUUUUGACAUGGGAUUCAGAGGCCAUCUAAAUGUUGAAGUUCCCUGAGGCAGGUCAGCUUUCUAGCUGCUGGGCCUGUGCCAGGGGCUGAACAGCCCCUUGAGAAAGGCUCUGCUCCCUUUCCCACCUCCCCAAUGUUGGUGUUGUUGCUGCCUUUUUCAUUUGUAUCCUGUUACUUUUUUUUUUUUUUAAAGAUUCCUUCUUUCAUUGUGCACAAGUGCUGAGAGCCUGAGGCCCCAUUUCUGCUGUGUAUAUAUCCUGACUUGGGGCUUUUAUUCAGCAAAAUGUUCAUUCUUCUGUCAGACAAUGUCAUAUUCAACUCUGUUCAUAUUAAACCACUGUGAAGCAAGCCUCUGUUUUCCUGCCUAAGUUGUAAAUUUAGUAUUUUUUUAGUUUCUAGGAUAUUCUGGGUAUUGUGUAGAAAUCAUACAACAUGGUCAGUGUCCUUAGGUCAUAAGUAAGUUUUACAUUUAAAUUUUUUAAAAAACAGAAUCCUAAGUUGCCUGUAGCAAUAUUUACCUGUCCUUCUUGCAGCUUGCAAUUGACUUUGUCACAGAGGUAAUGCAACUGUUUGCAGGAAGUAGCCAUAGGGCUCAGUAACUGUGGUUUAGGUCAGAUUUAGCAGAUUUGGUUUUUAAGCUUGUGGGUUUGUGCUAAUUUGGGCAGAAUAUAUUUAUAGUAUGUGUAUGUGUAUAUAUAUGUAUAUGCAUAUGCUCUGUGUGUACAUAAACACAUGUGUGUGUGUUCAUCCUAUAACACUCCCCCCCACACAACCCCUACAAACACUAUUCCUUUCAUAGUCUUUUUAACCUUAAUGGAGACUUUUCCUUUCAAAUAGAUUUGAUGCAGGCAGAAAGGUGAAUGAACUCUGAGAACUGUUUUUGUUUUUGUUUUGGUCUUUUUGAGGGCCGCUCCCAUGGCAUAUGGAGGUUCCCAGGCUAGGGGUCUAAUCGGAGCUGUUGCCUCCGGCCACAGCCACAGCCACAGCCACAGCAAUGCCAGAUCCGAGCCGCAUCUGCGACCUACACCACAGCUCGCGGCAAUGCUGGAUCCUUAACCCACUGAGCCGGGCCAGGGAUCAAACCCAUGUUCUCAUGGAUGCCAGUCAGAUUCAUUUCUGCUGACCCACCAUGGGAACUCCCAAAGCUAGUUUUAAUCAUGUAGUUGAGCAUGGAAAGAAGGUAUAGAAAGUGAUGUCAAAACAUUAUGAAUUAAGGUGACAUAAUGAUAUUUGGGUCUGUGUAGAAGAGUGGGAGCGGAAUUGAAGAAGUUAAGAGAUUUUGGUAGUUCAGGAGUUAGAUGACUAAAGAUAUCUGAGGGGACAGGGAAGAAUAGCUAUUUCUGUGAGAUAGGAGAAAGGAAGAGUAAUGAUAGAAAUGCAACCUUCACAGGCAGCAGGGUUGGAAAAUGAAUUAGAGAAUAAUUAGAAAAGGCAGCUAUAGAAUAAAAUAGUAACAAAACUUUGGACAGAUAACAUCGUUUGACAGGUAUUAAUUAGUAGCUGCCUGUAUGUCUAGCCUUAUGCUAAAAGCUGGGCUGUGAUGGAGCGGAGUGCUUGUGGUACAAAUAAAAUGAUUAUAUUCUUUUUCCUCAUAGACCUUAUUAUUUCUUAUACUUUGGUUUAGGAGAUAUUUAUAGAAGACAAAAACAUGCCAGAGAUAAAAUAAAAGGUCCAGGCACAUCUAGUUAUUUGUCCAGCUUUAAAAAAAAAUAAUCAGAUCAGGUUUUCUUUGGAGUCAAAUGUAACUGGGUCCCGAAAAGAACCCCAAAUCCAAGCCCAUCAACACCAAGGAGAAAGGGAAGCAUACUUUUAUAAGGAAUUCAAGUUUAUGCAUGCAUGUAGGUAUUUACUACUAAUUAACACCCUUUAUUCAUAGCUCAACCUUAACACUGGAACUUGGGGGAUGGAGGCUAAACAAAUUUUUGAACAUAGUAGCUAGAUCCAAAAGAAGUCUAAAUCUUCACAUUCCAAAGGUGCCUUAAUGACCCUUUGAACCCUUCUUUGAGGUGAGUUGAGCUAGUAUAGAGUGAGAGAGGUGCACACUUCAGGCUUCUGUGGAGCUUGUGUUUGAUGAGGUAUCCUAGGUAAGACACUUCUGUCUUCAAAUACAUGCUGUAAUAAUUUAAGUAAAUUUUUUUUUUUUUUUUUUUUUGCUGUGGAAAUGCAGACCAGUUGCUCACUGAAAUGGAUAUUUCUUGCUAUCCUUGAGGACUAUUGAGUCACCCUUGGUCUUCUCUUCUUAAACACAUAACAGGUCUAAUUUUUCCUCACUUGGCUCAUUUUUAACCCUUUUAUCUUUAUUACUCUGAAAUCUUUCCAAGGUCCUUAUGUGUCCCUAAGUCAUAGAGUCUAAAACUGGACACCACUUCAAUUAUAGCCUGACGUUUAGGUGGUUGUUAGUCCAUUUAUACAUUGCAGUAUUCAAGUUUACUUUUAAAAUAUAAACACUUUGUGACUAAUUUAGCUUGUGGUUCUCUGCCACUCCCUUCCCAACCACCCACCACCCCUCAUUCUUCUUAUCUUUUUUAUUUUUGGCUUGUACAAAAAAAAUUGUUCCCUAUUUUAUUUUCUCCCUUCUCUCUCUCUCCCUCUCUCUAUGCUUUUGAGAACAGAAAACUCAUUCCUUACAAAAUGGACAAACUGGGGUAAUCAUUAACAUUAUACAGAAUAAAGGAAUUUUUAAGUCAUGGCAAGCUUUCUUUAAAUAGGUGCUUCCUAUGGUGGUUUUAAGUGUUUGUAUAUAGAUCAUCCAACUACUUGAUAAAGAGAAACUGAAGGUAAAGGAUUAAGAGGCACUGCCAAUUGGAGGUCACUCAGGAAUUGGAUAAAACAGUAAUUCUUAAAUGAACAAUAAAAAACAUUCACAGAAAGUUAUGUGUACUUUUUAAGAAACUGUUAUUUAUUAUACCAAUAUAUUUUUUUCUGUCCAUAUAAGUCAACUUUUUUGAUCAUUUGUGCUAGUGGAGGGAUAAACAUUUUUAUUUUGUUACGCAUUUUUGUUCUAAAAUUUAAAUAUAGGCAUGUCUAAUAUUCAUAAGGCUUAAAAAAUAUUUCCUCAUAUGUAGUCAGAAUGAAGACUCAGGAAGAUCUGAAAAGUAGUAGAAAGAGUACUAGGCUUGGAAUAGAAACCUGGGUUCUGGAGUUUGCUGUGCUAUUGGCUGGCUCUAGUACCUUAGGCGAAUUGCUUCACCACAUUGGGCCUAUUUUUUCAGCUAUAAAAUGAGGGAUUUGACUAAAUACAUUAGGUAUCUUAAAUCUAUAAUGUUUAUUUUUUAUUUUUAUUUUUUUGGCUGCACUCACCACAUAUGUAAGUUUCUGGGCCAGGGAUCAAAUCUGUGCCACAGCAGCGACCCUCGCUGCAGCAGUGACAACACAGGAUCCUUAACCCACUGUGCCACAAGGGAACUCCCAAAUCUCUAAUGUUUAUGAUUUCUAACCCUUGCCAAGGAGUUGAGAAACCCUGGAGGUGAUGCCACCAAAAAGGUGAAAGCACAGUUUUCCCCCUGUGAUGGAGUUUGCUAUUGUGCAGUUAGUGUUCUCUCCUAGAAAUGAAUGACUCUUCACUUACCCUGAUUAGAUUUUGUUUGCCCACAUCUUGUUGUGUCACGUCAUGGGUACUCCACUGAAUCUCAGCAUUGAAGUGUUGAUUUGAUUUAUAGUUGCCCUAAUUUUAUUUUAGAGCUUUCCACAUGAAAUUUUUAAAUGAAAUAGUCACCUCAUAACUAUAUAGAACUAUUUAAAAUAUAUAAAUUAUAACUGUUGACCUGAUUACAAAAGUGCCCAUUUUGUUGAAAUGUUUUAUUGUGGUGAUAAAAGUUCAAAAGUAAUGCUAGUUAACAAAAUUCAAACAAAACAAAAAUGUGUAAAAAGUGAGAUUCUACUUAGUCCCUCUCCCUACCCCCAUUCCUCAAGAAUAACUUAAUUUGGUAUGU
rnacentral:lncRNA from 1 species